UAACGCGUGGGUAACCUGCCUCAUACAGGGGGAUAACAGUUGGAAACGACUGCUAAUACCGCAUAAGCGCACAGGAUCGCAUGAUCCGGUGUGAAAAACUCCGGUGGUAUGAGAUGGACCCGCGUCUGAUUAGCCAGUUGGCAGGGUAACGGCCUACCAAAGCGACGAUCAGUAGCCGACCUGAGAGGGUGACCGGCCACAUUGGGACUGAGACACGGCCCAAACUCCUACGGGAGGCAGCAGUGGGGAAUAUUGCACAAUGGGGGAAACCCUGAUGCAGCGACGCCGCGUGAGCGAAGAAGUAUUUCGGUAUGUAAAGNUCUAUCAGCAGGGAAGAAGAAUGACGGUACCUGACUAAGAAGCACCGGCUAAAUACGUGCCAGCAGCCGCGGUAAUACGUAUGGUGCAAGCGUUAUCCGGAUUUACUGGGUGUAAAGGGAGCGCAGGCGGUGCGGCAAGUCUGAUGUGAAAGCCCGGGGCUCAACCCCGGUACUGCAUUGGAAACUGUCGUACUAGAGUGUCGGAGGGGUAAGUGGAAUUCCUAGUGUAGCGGUGAAAUGCGUAGAUAUUAGGAGGAACACCAGUGGCGAAGGCGGCUUACUGGACGAUAACUGACGCUGAGGCUCGAAAGCGUGGGGAGCAAACAGGAUUAGAUACCCGUGGUAGUCCACGCCGUAAACGAUGAAUACUAGGUGU
rnacentral:rRNA from 1 species